rnacentral:rRNA from 1 species
CCUACGGGUGGCAGCAGUGAGGAAUAUUGGUCAAUGGGCGCGAGCCUGAACCAGCCAAGUCGCGUGAAGGAUGACUGCCCUACGGGUUGUAAACUUCUUUUAUAAAGGAAUAAACUGAGGCACGUGUGCCUUUUUGUAUGUACCUUAUGAAUAAGGAUCGGCUAACUCCGUGCCAGCAGCCGCGGUAAUAAGGAGGAUUCGAGCGUUAUCCGGAUUUAUUGGGUUUAAAGGGAGCGUAGAUGGGUUGUUAAGUCAGUUGUGAAAGUUUGCGGCUCAACCGUAGAAUUGCAAUUGAUACUGGCAGUCUUGAGUGCAGUUGAGGUAGGCGGAAUUCGUGGUGUAGCGGUGAAAUGCUUAGAUAUCACGAAGAACUCCGAUUGCGAAGGCAGCUUACUAAACUGCCACUGACAUUGAGGCUCGAAAGUGUGGGGAUCAAACAGGAUUAGAUACCCUGGUAGUC